GUCCUACCCUGAAUACCAUGAGGGCUGAUUGAGGUCAUUGAUGUCAGGACAGACUGAAGUGCACGUCAUUGGAAGAUUACAGAGGUGGUGGUGCGGACAUUAUGGUGCGAGCUUUGACAGAAUGGGGAACUGGGCAAGUUGGCAGAGGACCGGGCAAUUUAGAGACAGGCCUGCAAGAGGAAGACCUCCUGUACCUGGCUUUCCAAAGCACUCCGCAAUCAACAGACCGAGAUCAGGACAGCCAAAAGGAAAUGAAGGAAGUCCAAAGCUCUGACAGAGCUGGCUAAGUAUCAGUUCCCUCUUGCAUCUUUUUUUUCUGCUACCAUCAAUGUUAAGGGAAGGUUCUACCAGACUAGAAUUAACAGAACCACCAAUACACAUUCCAUCUCCUUUCACCUCCCUUCUUAACCCUCCUUCCCCAACUCCCCUGGCUGCUGAUUACUUUGUUUUCAGGAUAGCGAGGUUUCUAUAACCAGCCAGUUCUUGCCCUUGCUGCCACCCAUUAUGCCUCCUUCCAAGCAUCUCCCAACAUUCCCCACAUUCUCUACACUCUCUGCAACUGAUAUUUCCGACCUCCUCUCCAAUCACCCCACUACCUGACCACUUGACCCCAUUCCCUCACAGUUCCUUUUGGCCCCACCCCCUCACUCAUUUCUGUAAUUACAUACAUCAUUAACAUCUGAAUCAGCUUAGUCACAUUUCCUUCCAAUCUUUAAACACACCCUAAUAACCCCACUUUUCGAAAAAAGCAAUACUCGAUCCAUCGUAAGUUAGCAAUUACAGGCCUGUCUCUCUCCUUUUCUUUCUUUCCAAAACACUUCAACAUGCUGUUUCUAAGCAGGUUUCUUCCUUCCUUGUACAGAAUGGAUUGCUUGAUACCAACCAGUCCGGCUUCAAGAGGAACCAUUUGACUAAGAUGGCUCUUCUAACUGUGGUUGUCCAGCAACGACUUGCUAGAGCUACUAACAUGUUAUCGAUCCUGAUCCUGUUAGAUCUCUCCUCCGCCUUCGACAAAGUCAACCAUGACAUCCUUCUAUCCAUCUUCUCUGACCCUGGCAUCACUGGGACUGUUCUCAGAUGGUUUGAGUCCUAUAUCUCAGGCAGAUCCUACAGUGUGUCCUAGUGAGGAAAGUAGUCAAGGGAGCAUAAGACAUGUACAGGUGUACCCCAAGGACAGGUGCUGGGUCCUCUACUCUACCAAUCCCAUGUUUUCUCUUAUCAGUGCUAGUGAUGAUACACAGCUGUGCCUGUCAUUCUAUCCGGAGUCUCUGCAUGUCUUACUGAUAUCUCAACCUGGAUGAAAGACCACCAUCUACAGUUCAAACAGGCAAAAACUGAGUUUCUUAUGAUCCUGCCCAGCCAGUCUGUUCAACUCCCCAUCUCUGUAAAGCUUGGCUCACUGUUACUAACACCUGCCAAGUCAGUACUCAACCUUGCGGUAGUGAUUGAAGAGCAGCUAACGUUUUCUGAGCACAUUUCUACUACUUCUCAUUCUUGCAGUUUCAUGCUAUAAAACGUCCACAAGAUAAGACUUUAUCUGACAGUGUAUGGGAUACGACUUCUGGUCCAGGCUUUGGUCUUGUCACGUCUUAAACUACUGCAACUCACUUCUAGCAGAAGUACCUGCGCAUGCUAUCAAGCCACUGAAAAUGAUCCAGAAUGCAAUAGUCUGUCUUGUAUUUAACCAGCUGUGACGAGCACAUGCCCCCCCUCUCUUCAGGUUGCUACACUGACACCCUGUAGCAGCACACAUUAAGUUCAAAUCCCUGAUGCUUGCCUACAGAGUAGUUAAUGGGUCAGCACCUGAGUAUAUGGAGACACUAAUGAAGUCCUAUACUCCUCACCCACUCAGGUCUUCCAGGGAAUAGCAUCUGGCGAUGCUGCCUCUGCAAUGGUAUUAAUCCAGACUCUUAUCCUGUGGAGUUCCUAGAUGACGAAAUGUGCUACCCACCACCAUCCAUACUGCUGAUUCCCUUAUUGUAUUCAAGAAGCAAUUGAAAAUGCAUCUGUUAUAUGAUAGAAGAAAAAAAAACUUUGCUCUGUGAUA